rnacentral:lncRNA from 1 species
UUGUUAGUCGUGACCCCUUUAGCUAAUCUGUUUGGAACAGGUGGGUGGUACAUUCGCAUGUUGUUUGAUCGAAAGGCGGAACCGUUAGUAUUAUCAUGUUUGCUUUCCUUGGAAAUGAUUCAGCUCUAGGAGCGAAUUAUUAGUUUACUGUUUAUAAUCUGUAUCAUUUUGUAAAUUAUCAUUCCCUGGCUCAUUUUAAUUUUUUUGCAUUCCCUGGCUCAUUUUAAUUUUGUUCCUGUGGUGGAGUAUAACUGUUGUUGUUCCGCCUGUUAAUUUAGUUGACUUUCUCUCCUGAAAUCUAGCCAAACGCAGAAACAAGCACACUGGCGUAUCUGUACCGGCAAGGUCUCUUUUCACACCAUCUAGUCCAAAACCAAAAGCUGUUGUAUUCUCUGAUGAACUUCAAGGCAACAAAAAUGCAGCAGAUAUAUGCAAGCUUCCUUGGGUACCUGCACAAGAUAUACAUGACAUGCAAGCAGAGCCAUAUUAAUAUAGGUACAGCAUACACUACACACCUUUACACUAAGUAUUUACUUUGGGCAGCUCAUCAUCCAUAUUCUUGCAGCUUUAUGUUCCAUCUAAUAUGUAUAGAAAUCAAUGUGUAUUCGUAACCAGACGUGUCAUUAGCUAGUUUAAAUCCUCACAGUAGGCAAUAUAACUUGCCAGCACAUGCCAAUUUGUUUACUUAACCAUACCUUAUAAUGGGUUAGCCCCAUGCACUUACUGUUUAUUCGGUCCAGAACCAAUGGCUGAACCAACUGCUGCACUUUUAGUUCUAUGAUGUGUGUUUGUUGUCACUUGUAGGAUAACUCGAUUAUACUUUCAUUUGACGCAGCUUUCUUUGGACUAAUUUUGCUUGUUUUCACGUGUGUUGCACACAUUUACGUGGUACCUUAGUAUAGUAGUGGUGUGUCCAUGGAUGAUUGCUUGGAAAAUCAACUAAUAUUACUAUCUGUAUUCAUUUGGGAGCUUGCUUUUGAUAACAUAUUAUAAUUUUGAAUGUGUUCUGAUUCUACACAGGUUUGGCAGUUAAUCCAUGUUACUGGAGACUGAAGUUUUUUAGCAGGAAUUACUUGGGUCUGGAAGCUGCCUUCAAUCGUUGUUGUUGGAGAUUAAAAUUAGCUAGCAGUGCAUUUUCUUUUAAGUCAUGUAACUCACUCUUUACAAAAAAAACUUAUAGCGCUUUCUAGAUGUGCUUGGGAUGUUUUGAUAUUAGCUUUGCUUUUUCAAAUUAGAUUUGAUUGUUGGAAAUCUGUAUUGUCAUGUAAACUAUUGCUAUUUUUUGAAGGAAUAUAGUUUGGUUGUCUUGCUGCAAAUUGUGUUGUAUUGAGAAAACAGGCUGUACAAAAAAUGGGGCUAAUAGGUUGGACUAAAAAAACAGGGCAGGACAAA